CCUACGGGAGGCUGCAGUGAGGAAUAUUGGUCAAUGGCCGGGAGCCUGAACCAGCCAAGUAGCGUGCAGGAUGACGGCCCUACGGGUUGUAAACUGCUUUUAUCCGGGAAUAACGCGCCUUACGUGUCGUGCUUUGUAUGUACCGUAUGAAUAAGGACCGGCUAAUUCCGUGCCAGCAGCCGCGGUAAUACGGAAGGUCCGGGCGUUAUCCGGAUUUAUUGGGUUUAAAGGGAGCGUAGGCCGGAUGCCAAGCGUGCUGUUAAAUUUCCGGGCCCAACCCGGGCCUCGCAGUGCGAACUGGGGUGCUUGAGUCCGCGGAAGGCAGGCGGAAUGCGUGGUGUAGCGGUGAAAUGCUUAGAUAUGACGAAGAACCCCGAUUGCGAAGGCAGCUUGCUGCAGCGGAACUGACGCUGAUGCUCGAAAGCGUGGGUAUCGAACAGGAUUAGAUACCCUGGUAGUC
rnacentral:rRNA from 1 species